UACGGGGGGGGCAAGCGUUGUUCGGAAUUACUGGGCGUAAAGGGCUCGUAGGCGGCCAACUAAGUCAGACGUGAAAUCCCUCGGCUUAACCGGGGAACUGCGUCUGAUACUGGAUGGCUUGAGGUUGGGAGAGGGAUGCGGAAUUCCAGGUGUAGCGGUGAAAUGCGUAGAGAUCCGGAGGAACACCGAAGGCGAAGGCAGUGUCCUGGCGCGUAACUGACGCUGAGGUGCGAAAGCCAGGGGAGCGAACGGG
rnacentral:rRNA from 1 species